AGCGUCAGAUUAACUUUCGUGUCACAAACGCCGAUCCUCUGCUGGGGGCUCGCCGGCUGCAAUCACAAUAAGGUAAAUGCAGGCAGGACUCUUUGAAGAGCGAUUCCAAAGCACGCUUAAAGCAUGGAGCCACUAAGGCCUCGUGCAUGGAAAUGAGGGAAGGAAGCCAGAAGGGAAAAGGAGACGGGAGCUUUUCCCUUUUCAUAGAUUGGAAUUGGCCUUAAUCUCAUUAAAGAGCCCAGCGGCGAACACGCCGUCCACUCCGCCCAGCCUGUAAUCAGCCCAAGACACGCCGCUCAUCUCAGAUUGGCCGGGGCUCGAGCCGACCAGCUGGCCGCUUGAGAGCUUGGCCGGCCCUCGUUCAUGCCAGGAGGUGCUGAGCGACUGAAAAGCGAGGAGGAACUUGAAAGAGUGUUGGUGUGGAAACUGAGCCUUCGGCCAGCAACUGUUUCUGUUCCUCCUGGAGGAGCAGCAGGUAGACGCGGGGCUUCAGCAGGGUUUCAUCAGCGGCGAGCAGCUGCUGCUGGAGCUGAAGGCUGGGGGGAUCCAUCUUGAGCAGGAGGCGGUCGUCCGGCUGGAGCUGCAGAACAUCCCCCCCCUCGACCUGCUGGACUUCCUGGCCUACCUGCCGCUCUUCAUGCUCAUUCAUAAAUCCGUCAUCUCCAACCCGCUCAACGAGUCCAGCCACUUUUAGGCUUUUAUCUUUCCUUUCAGUCUUUCGAUUUCUUUCAAUUCUCUUAUUUUUUAAAGUUAUUAAUGUUGACAAAUGCUUCACUAUAGACGCAUUGACGUCUCACUAACCUGAAAUCUAUGUGAGAAGAUCAAUAAACAUUAGAUUAUAAGGGGUAACAAACCAAACCAGCAGUUAUUGAACCAAAGUUUUCUGUUUUCAUCUUGUUUUUAUGAAAACGUUGCUCUCAUUAUUAACUCUUUCAAGGCACCAAUUUCCUUCAGAAUUGGAUUUCUGUGGAUUUGACAGUUAUUCCUGAUAAUGUUCUUGGAAGCAGGUUUCCAUGACGCCUUAACUAUUCACCACAAUAAAGAGGUCUUAUCAGCAGAAAUGCAGCUGCUCAAUGUUUGUGCUUUGUUUACAGCAGCUUAUGUUCAACAACGUCCAGCUCUGCUCAACCCAAAUCAAUAAAAGAAGAGCAGAUUGAAGAAAUAGGAGUACAUCUUGAACAAUAUUUUUAUAACAGACAGGAUUUGUUUAAAACUGUCAACUUUAGACUCUUUUUGGUUUUUUCUCCCACCUUUUCGUACAGCCGGACUCACCUGGUCUGGUCUCUGAAGCUAAACUGGCUCAGACCUGCUUAGUCUUUGAAUGGGAGAUCACCUGGGAUUACCAGGUCCUAUGAGCUGCUAUUACCACACGGAGGCGGCGUCCAGUGUGUUCAUGUGCCAGUCCCAUUGGAUGUAAAUCAGAACUGGACCGAGUGACCCCUCCCCAUGGCGUUCCAAACAGGAAGUACUUGCUGGUUCCAAGAAGCCAAUACCCAAGAACCAUUCUAU
rnacentral:lncRNA from 1 species